GCCCCGUUCGUCUAGCGGCCUAGGACGUCGGCCUCUCACGCCGGUAACACGGGUUCAAAUCCCGUACGGGGUACGA
rnacentral:tRNA from 1 species